UGUUGUUUGUAAAUUGUUUAUUGAAUGGACGAGACAGUCAAUGGAUCGAGAAAUCCCGAGUUAUAUACUGUAAUCUUGUGUACUGGAACAUGCUAGCUAAUUUUCAGUCAGCGGCCAAUAAACCAAGCAGGAAAACGACAGAACGGACAGUUACCGUGAAAGCAAACACUGCGCUAAGAACCGAACAAAGCCUGGAAAAGGCCGGAUCAAACCGGUCACGACACACGGGUCUGAGUAGAGAGUAGAUGACAGAAGUUUCUCGAACUUUCUCGCCCGUCCUCCGUCGCUUCUGGGACCCGCGCGAUGUUUUUCCUCGAUAAUAAUAACACGUCGCUAGAUUGAUUUGCUGUAUAAAAACUUAAAAGUAUAUUGUAAAACAAAACAAUAUUGAAAAAAAAAAAAAAAUACACGAAUCAAAGAAAACAUAAUUUCAGAGAUGUUUUACAAUAGUCUGAAACACAGCAUCCGGUCCGAUCACCUGGCUAAAGGUAACGUGACGUCAGUGCUUUAGCCACGCCCUACUACAGUUCAUUUGAGCGGAGUUAACAGUGUGUCACGCUUCUGUACAGUAAUCCGGUCAUAACAGCGUCGAAGAUGAGCCACUUUCUGCUAGUUAUUUGCUCUCUCAUCAUCGCCAGUGCUGCUGAGAUGUCACGAGAGUUUCGUCGAUGCUCUCCCCGAUGGGUUAACGCCAGUCAAGUUAAAGCCAGCUGUAGCGACAUCCAGAUUGCACAGUACUGUGAUCCUGAUCAGAGCUGUAGAAACAUGAGCAAGCCCGGGGUCUCGCUGGAGAAGGACAGGGAAAGAGGACUAUGCCUAACCAUCACCAACUGCUCCUAUGAGUCGUGGUCCUGCGAAGCACUGAGUUACAUCGAUGGCGAAGAAUUUGGGGAGAAUUUUACUGUCAACCUGACGUGCAACCAACCUACUAGCACUUUGCCCAGUCCAGGACUUACAAGCACUUCAGCAACUUCAGGAUCUGCCAGCACUUUGCCCAGUCCAGGCAAUAAUGAGUCAGGGUCUGUUUCAGCUGGGGUCACUGUGCUGAUCAUCGUGUCGAUCAUCUUUGGGCUGACCAUCGUAGUGCUUUGCAUCUGUUACAAGAAGGUAAGUGUUUUCAGAGGCAAAUAAAAUCUUUGUUGGUGAACUGUAAAAAAUCUGUGCAAAUAAAAUCUGUGUUGUUCAAACAGAACAACAAAAGUGCAUUUAAUAUACGAUGAAAUUUGCCCAGAAAACCGUG
rnacentral:lncRNA from 1 species